GAUUUUGGGACAACCAAGCUGCCGUUAUCGUGUUCACUUAUUUUGACAUCCACGUGGAGAUUGGGAUUCCCGGGACACGAGAACAAAGGUCGAGGGAGGAGGGAGGACAGGCACAUUGUAUCCCGAGAGAGACGGUUGCUCAGUAAGGCACGGGGCUCUGGGCAGAGACAGUGGCAGGGAGACAUUGGGUGCAGGGCAGGCUGGCAUGGGACAGGCCGGUGUCCACCGCGGGCUGCCGGAGCGGGAGCGCUGGUUGCACGAGCUGUCACCAGAGUGUGGCGGGGCGUCCUUGCUGGACAGACCCUCGCACCCAGUGGGGGUGGCCCUGGGCCUCACUCACUCAGUAGCUGUGCCUCCGGGAGAGCGUUGGCCUAGUUGCCAAAAGCAUAGUGACCAGAGCGGCGAGAAAUGGACACGCGCUGACCAGGGCCAACGCAGACUGUCGGAAGAGCAGCCCUCACUCCAGGACGGGGAAAGAGAAAGGCGUUAACGUGGGGCCGUGCAAAAGGCUGCACAGCCUAGGAGGAAUGUUUAGGGAACAGACGCAAUGCAGUGUCCUUGAGGACUGGAAAUCUCUUUCUGCCUUGCUUGUUCUUUUUGCUGCAAAGGAGUUAAAGGGCUCUGCUGCUGUUAUGAGGAAAUAUACAAGCCAUAUGCUGACACCCCCAGCACCUUAGGGAUGUCUGCGAAUGAGAAACAAAGGCAACGUUAUGUCUAAAUAGAAUUGUGUAAGGACUUAGGAAAGGGAUGGAUGGAGGAUACAAAUACUGUGAUCACAUUCAGUGUCCUCUUCAUGAAAGCACCUGCUGCCACGAGGCCAUCAGCAACAGUAGCUGAAAGCCCUAGGAAACUCACCAACUAGAAGCUCUGGAGCUGCCAGACUACAACCAGGAUUCUUUUGAAACAAAACAUUUGCUUUCCAUAAAGAUCCCCGCAGAAGGACCAGCUCCUCCAGAGCAUAGUACUGUGACAGUCCCCAUAGGAAAUUUUCCUCGUGCCCGUUGGGGAAGAACAUCACCAAAAAGACCAUUUGGGGGAGGAAGUUCCAGCCACAGGGGUCAGAAUAAACAGUGGAAUUCUUGAAAGCCUCCACAUCAUUCAUGCUGGAACAUAGGUGUCAGAGUCAGCCGUGGAAGAGCCCAGCUUGUGCCCUACCCCAGGCUGAUGGGUCUCUGCUGAGGAUGCAUCUGCGGGCAAGUUCAGGUGCAGCCUUCCCUUGCAGAAGGCUGCCAGGCAUCCUCUGCUCCAAACACGUCCCCCUCCGGCAGCCUGCUACACUGAUGUUCUCUUCUUCCUUUGGGGUGUAAAGGUCCCAUCAGGGGAGCUGGGUUAUUAAAGAAUAGCAGGAA